AUGGAAAAGUAUGGUCAUCCCAUCAUUAGACAGCACACAUCCUACAUAAAUAAAAAGUCGUAUGGGGAAGGAGGUUGGGGAGGGAAUAAAAAAUUGGCACAGACAUUGAUAGACUGGUUUCCAGUUUCAAGGUAACAGAUGCACAUCAUGAGACCAGAGGAGGCAGAGACAAGGCUGGAUUUGGCUUUUCUAAGCAACAUGUGUUCCUGUGCAGGGCUGAAUGGUCGCUGAGACAGAGAUGGAAGCCAGGACAAGGGAGCCCACCGGGCCCAGAUAGAGACUUCAGAAUCCACUCCUGAGAACAGCGGAGCCAGGCGCUUAGAGGAAGACCAAAUGCUGCCAGGACACGGAUUGUCCAGGGAUUACAUUCCAGCAUCUUAUUAGAGGACCGAAGCAGAGGGUGCUGUUUCAAUGCCACCACCAGGAGAGAGGCAGAGGGGCUGUGCCGUGCUAGAGUCCUCAGGGAGGGAGUGACCUCGACCCUGGCUGUGCUGCAAGCUGACUCCAGCCUUGGUACUUCUGGGUCUCAGUGGCCCGGGACAAGGGGCCAGCUCUGGGCUGAUGGGGAGGUCUUCAUGAUGUGCUUGGGAGGGAAGAGGCGGGUCCAAG
rnacentral:lncRNA from 1 species